CUAACUUGUAACAGGAAGGUCCAGCCAUAUGAAUUUAUCCUCCUCUCCUUUUCUUUCUCAAGAUACAGGAGGGCACAGAGAUGUGUGUCACUUACUGUCCCUGGAAGACACAGUAGAACUAGUAAUCUCCUUCUCUAUUGGCUUAUUGUCCUUUUCACCUUUCUCUUUUUGUUGGAAUGCAGUCCUUCCCUGUUUUUCCUGCACUUGGACACACCUAGGCUAGAGCAUGAGACUGGACGUGUCCAGGUUCAUCUUUAUGGACUUGCUGAUUUUCUGCUGGAUUCAGGUCAGAAGUCACAGUCUGUUGCAGAUUAUUCCUCCAAAUGAUACAUUUCAAGGGGAAAUAAUCCUUUUGAUUUGAUAUUGUCUUAAUAUUUUUAAGAAAUUGGAAAGUUAUUAAACAACCCCCAGGUUGAGAAAUACAGUCCAUCCCAAGGUUUUUUGGUUAUACUGUAGAAUUACACUGCAUGGAGCUAAACAGUAAUUUCAAAAUCUCCUUUUUGUUUGUUUUGGUGGUUUAUGUUGGUGGUGGUGGUGGUUGGUUUUUUGGGCAGUUUGUUUGGGUUUUUUUGUUUGUUUGUUUUUUUGGUUUGUUGUUUGUGGUUUGGUUUUUUCAGUCUUCCACACCUGAGGAGUCUCAUGUAGCUCUCUUCUUUCUGGAGCCCAAAACUCCUUCUUAGGCAGAAUUCUACUCUGAACUGAUGACUUUUUUCCUUUGAAUCCUUUCCUUAGUGAAAUAUCAGGUUCUUACCUUGGUUUCAAAGGGUUAGUGUUGGAAUGAUUUGCAUAUGGCACAAAUUCCAGCUUCUGCUUUUCAACAAGAAAAGAAGCUGAACAUCCAGCAAGCGAAUUUUAACAUGCUUUUUGAAAGCCUUGCAAUAAAUCAAAGGCAGCUGGGUACCCUUCAGCAGCCAUGUGUGGCCAUUCCAGCCCUUCCAAUAUGUACAGGGAAUGCAUUUCAAGAAAUGGAUGAUGCCUGCUGUAUUGCCAGCUUCCUGGAGGAACCCACCAUGACAAAGUAUUAACAAAGAUAGGCCUGAUUAUGAAUUAUGCUGCUGGGGUAAGAGCAAUCUUUUAAUCUUCUCAUUUUUAGGGAUUUGCAUGUCCUACCUUGUGUCU
rnacentral:lncRNA from 1 species